GCACUUGGCGGCGUGCUUACACAUGCAAGUCGACGAUGAACCGCUUUCGGGCGGGGAUUAGUGGCGAACGGGUGAGUAACACGUGGGCAAUCUGCCCUGCACUCUGGGACAAGCCCUGGAAACGGGGUCUAAUACCGGAUAUGACUGUCCGCCGCAUGGUGGAUGGUGUAAAGCUCCGGCGGUGCAGGAUGAGCCCGCGGCCUAUCAGCUUGUUGGUGAGGUAGUGGCUCACCAAGGCGACGACGGGUAGCCGGCCUGAGAGGGCGACCGGCCACACUGGGACUGAGACACGGCCCAGACUCCUACGGGAGGCAGCAGUGGGGAAUAUUGCACAAUGGGCGAAAGCCUGAUGCAGCGACGCCGCGUGAGGGAUGACGGCCUUCGGGUUGUAAACCUCUUUCAGCAGGGAAGAAGCGAAAGUGACGGUACCUGCAGAAGAAGCGCCGGCUAACUACGUGCCAGCAGCCGCGGUAAUACGUAGGGCGCAAGCGUUGUCCGGAAUUAUUGGGCGUAAAGAGCUCGUAGGCGGCUUGUCACGUCGGUUGUGAAAGCCCGGGGCUUAACCCCGGGUCUGCAGUCGAUACGGGCAGGCUAGAGUUCGGUAGGGGAGAUCGGAAUUCCUGGUGUAGCGGUGAAAUGCGCAGAUAUCAGGAGGAACACCGGUGGCGAAGGCGGAUCUCUGGGCCGAUACUGACGCUGAGGAGCGAAAGCGUGGGGAGCGAACAGGAUUAGAUACCCUGGUAGUCCACGCCGUAAACGGUGGGCACUAGGUGUGGGCAACAUUCCACGUUGUCCGUGCCGCAGCUAACGCAUUAAGUGCCCCGCCUGGGGAGUACGGCCGCAAGGCUAAAACUCAAAGGAAUUGACGGGGGGCCCGCACAAGCGGCGGAGCAUGUGGCUUAAUUUCGACGCAACGCGAAGAAACCUUACCAAGGCUUGACAUA
rnacentral:rRNA from 1 species